AGCGAACGCUGGCGGCAGGCUUAACACAUGCAAGUCGAGCGCCCAGCGAGGGGAGCGGCAGACGGGUGAGUAACAGGUGGGAGCGUAGUCUUUGGUUCGGAACAACCCAGGGAGACUUGGGCAACUACCGGAAACGAACGCGAGGACCACGUUGUAUCGCCUAAGACAAGGCUCGCGUCUGAAUAGUGAGUUGGCUUGGUAACGGCGCGAUGAGGCGACGAGUAGUAGCUGGUGUGAGAGGACGACCCACCAUACUGGGACUGAGACACGGCCCAGACUCCUACGGGAGGCAGCAGUGGGGAACAUUGAACAAUGGGGGCAUGCCUAAUCCUUUCGUGCCGCAAGAGUGAGUUAGUCCCGAAGGUUGUAAAGCACUGUCGGUGGGGAAGAUAAUGACGGUACCCACAGAAAAAGCCACGGCUAACUUCGUG
rnacentral:rRNA from 1 species